CUUCAUUCUCGCAUCGGGAGUUUUGGCGUUCAUCAAAUAGAGAACGUCGGUCGCGGGGAGUUGAGCCAAGUCAUAUGCUGGGGCAUGCUCAGCAUUCGCUUAAGUCACAUGGUGCUGGUCAGCCUGUCACUAGUCGCACACGAGCUACAUUCGAGAGGCAUUUCACUCGCCAUUCCAGCACACUGCUGCGUAUAUGCUUUCGUGCUGUGUCAGUGAAAGAGAAUGGUUCUGAAAACGAACUCCAUAAAACUUUCCUGACGCAAGAAUGGAUGCUGCUGUUGAUGAUGCCGGCUGUGGAUAUUAUGGUAUAGCAGGAACAAGCAAAAGGAAUAAAGGAAGCGUACGAAAGUGUGGAAGGCAAAACGGUUGUCGGGAAAAAGAAGAACUUCCAAAUUGAUGCAGGCAGCUAAAGAACCAAAUUAAGAACCCAGACACGACUGAUUUGAGCAAGAUUCGAGAAGAAUGAAAAACAAAAACCUGCACACGUUUGUGACCGAGAAUCGUAGCAAGAAGAUAGACAGAGAUGCGCAACGGCAACAGAAAACGCGAAUAUCGUAUAAUUUCCUUUCGUUUGGAAUUAUUGCUGGACCAUCAUCAAACGCACUGCACAAAACAUGGGCAGAUUCCGCAUACGUGUAGCAAACGUGUGGAGUGUUUUGGCUUCGUCUUGAGCGUAUCGUAUCGGUUUUAUUCUUUCUUGCUCGAUUAUGAUCAUUAGUGUUUUGUAUGAGAAGCUAAUUUUCAUAAGUUAGCGAAAGGUGUUUUAUUGAGGUUUGUUUCGAGAUUUGCGGUUGCCUCGAGAUGAAAAAAACUAAAAUUUUACUUUUAGGUAAUUUUGCACCACCAAUAUUCUGAAUGAACAAAAAACAGCUGAAAC